UCUGCAAAUUGAAUGGUGUCG
rnacentral:piRNA from 1 species